rnacentral:rRNA from 1 species
UACAGAGGUCCCGAGCGUUGUUCGGAUUCACUGGGCGUAAAGGGUGCGUAGGUGGCUUGGUAAGUUUGAUGUGAAAGCUCAGGGCUCAACCCUGAAAUGGCAUUGAAUACUACUGAGCUGGAGGUUUGGAGGGGGGACUGGAAUUCUCGGUGUAGCAGUGAAAUGCGUAGAUAUCGAGAGGAACACCAGUGGCGAAGGCGACUUCCUGGCCUGUUCUUGACGCUGAGGCGCGAAAGCUAGGGGAGCAAACGGG